AAUGGCCUACUGCUGGCCAGGAGCCUUAUCGAUGACAUAGUCAAUUAGCACAUAUUGUGUAUGUUGUAUGCAUUUUAUACUAUAUUCUUAAAGUAAGCCAGAGAAAAGAAAAUGUUAAAAUCAUAAAGAGAAAAUAAAUUUCUUAGUCAUUAAGUGGAAAUGGGUCAUUAUAAAGGUCUUGAUUCUCAUCAUCUUCACAUUGAGUAGGCUCAGGAGGAAAAAGAAGAAGAGUUCGUCUUUCUGUCUUGGCUG